rnacentral:rRNA from 1 species
GACGAACGCUGGCGGCGUGCUUAACACAUGCAAGUCGAACGGUAAGGCCCUUCGGGGUACACGAGUGGCGAACGGGUGGAGUAACACGUGGGUGAUCUGCCCUGCACUUCGGGAUAAGCCUGGGAAACUGGGUCUAAUACCGGAUAGGACCAUGGACUUCACGGUUUGUGGUGGAAAGCUUUUGCGGUGUGGGAUGGGCCCGCGGCCUAUCAGCUUGUUGGUGGGGUAAUGGCCUACCAAGGCGACGACGGGUAGCCGGCCUGAGAGGGUGUCCGGCCACACUGGGACUGAGAUACGGCCCAGACUCCUACGGGAGGCAGCAGUGGGGAAUAUUGCACAAUGGGCGCAAGCCUGAUGCAGCGACGCCGCGUGACGGAUGACGGCCUUCGGGUUGU